GACGAACGCUGGCGGCGUGCUUAACACAUGCAAGUCGAACGGAAAGGCCCUGCUUUUGUGGGGUGCUCGAGUGGCGAACGGGUGAGUAACACGUGAGUAACCUGCCCUUGACUUUGGGAUAACUUCAGGAAACUGGGGCUAAUACCGGAUAGGAGCUCCUGCUGCAUGGUGGGGGUUGGAAAGUUUCGGCGGUUGGGGAUGGACUCGCGGCUUAUCAGCUUGUUGGUGGGGUAGUGGCUUACCAAAGCUUUGACGGGUAGCCGGCCUGAGAGGGUGACCGGCCACAUUGGGACUGAGAUACGGCCCAGACUCCUACGGGAGGCAGCAGUGGGGAAUAUUGCACAAUGGGCGGAAGCCUGAUGCAGCACCGCCGCGUGCGGGAUGACGGCCUUCGGGUUGUAAACCGCUUUCGCCUGUGACGAAGCGUGAGUGACGGUAAUGGGUAAAGAAGCACCGGCUAACUACGUG
rnacentral:rRNA from 1 species